rnacentral:tRNA from 1 species
GCGGGGGUGGCCGAGCAAGGUCAAAGGCGCCGGACUCAGGCUCCGGUGGCGUAGGCCUGCGUGGGUUCGAAUCCCACCCCCCGCA